ensembl:snRNA U2 U2 spliceosomal RNA
AUCGCUUCUCGGCCUUUUGGCUAAGAUCAAGUGUAAUACAGGAAGAUGCCCGGAACUGCUUGAAAAUGCCUCUGAAAUUCUCUAUUGCUGUUUUCCAGUAUUAAUACAGAUAAUUUAAUAUGAGUUCUCUUGAAAUUCAGGAUUUUUCCCAUCAAUUUAUAGAUUGGUAACACUAGUUUGUACUCCCUGCUGGAAUCUUUCCUACACCUC